rnacentral:rRNA from 1 species
UAGGGAAUCUUCCGCAAUGGACGCAAGUCUGACGGAGCAACGCCGCGUGAGUGAAGAAGGAUUUCGGUUCGUAAAACUCUGUUGUUAGGGAAGAACAAAUGUGUAAGUAACUAUGCACAUCUUGACGGUACCUAAUCAGAAAGCCACGGCUAACUACGUGCCAGCAGCCGCGGUAAUACGUAGGUGGCAAGCGUUAUCCGGAAUUAUUGGGCGUAAAGCGCGCGUAGGCGGUUUUUUAAGUCUGAUGUGAAAGCCCACGGCUCAACCGUGGAGGGUCAUUGGAAACUGGAAAACUUGAGUGCAGAAGAGGAAAGUGGAAUUCCAUGUGUAGCGGUGAAAUGCGCAGAGAUAUGGAGGAACACCAGUGGCGAAGGCGACUUUCUGGUCUGUAACUGACGCUGAUGUGCGAAAGCGUGGGGAUCAAACAGG